AAGAAAGAAAAGACAGAAAGAGAAAGGAAGGAAGGAAGGUUUUAAUGAGGAGACAAUGCUUUUUGUCCCUGAGCUUCUCUUGUUCAAGUGCAGAACAGAAAAAGGAGAGAGAAAGUUUGAUGCAGGGAUCAGGCCUCCUCAGCCGCUGAUGCCUCAUGAUAGAAGCACCGUGGCUUCUCAAGGACUGUAGGUUACAGAAGGCUCCCGUCUAGACUGAGUCAGGCCUGGUGGCUGGCACACACACAGUCUACCCAGUGUCUGCAAGAGCAGCCAAUUGGGAGACACUCCACACUUCUCUCUGAGUCAUUGCCUUGUCCAUCCAGGUGCCCACAGCACACACCAACCCACUGCAAACAAGACCUUUUCUCCUGGGAGAAAGCCUCAACGUUUUCAAGCUUGAGUUUUCAGAGACUAUUCACAAUAGCAAAGAUAUGGAAUCACCCUAAGUGUCCGUCAGCUAAUGAUUGGAUAAGGAAAGUGUCGUAUACAUGGAAGACUCCUUAGCCAUAAAAAGAAGGAAAUCAUGUUUUUUGCAGCAACCGGGGUGAAACUGGAGGCCAUUAUCUUAACUGAAACAACUCAAAACCAAGAAGUCAAGCACUGCAUAUUCUCACUCAGAAGUGUGAGCUGAAAAAUGUGUACACAUGGAUGUACAGAGUGGAAUCACAGACUUUGGAGACACA
rnacentral:lncRNA from 1 species